rnacentral:rRNA from 1 species
AGGGCCUCGGGACGCAGCAGUGAGGAAUAUUGGUCAAUGGGCGGAAGCCUGAACCAGCCAAGUCGCGUGAGGGAAUAAGGCCCUACGGGUCGUAAACCUCUUUUGCCGGGGAGCAAGGGCCGGGACGCGUCCCGGCCCGGAGAGUACCCGGAGAAAAAGCAUCGGCUAACUCCGUGCCAGCAGCCGCGGUAAUACGGAGGAUGCGAGCGUUAUCCGGAUUUAUUGGGUUUAAAGGGUGCGUAGGCGGGCUUUUAAGUCAGCGGUAAAAAUUCGGGGCUCAACCCCGUCCGGCCGUUGAAACUGGG